rnacentral:rRNA from 1 species
UACGUAGGAGGCGAGCGUUGUCCGGAGUUACUGGGCGUAAAGCGCACGCAGGCGGUCCUAUUAGUCUGGGGUGACAGUUCCCGGCUUAACCGGAAAAGGACUCUGGAAACUGUAGGACUUGAGGGCUUCAGAGGGAUGUGGAAUUCCAGGUGGAGUGGUGAAAUGCGUAGAGAUCUGGAGGAAUACCGAUGGCGAAGGCAGCCUUCUGGCCUAAUACUGACGCUGAGGUGCGAAAGCAUGGGGAGCAAACAGG